AUGGAUCAAAGAAGAGAAAGCUUCAAUCAAGAAUGCAUCAACCAGUCAUGCAAAGGGGAGAAGAAGGUACCAUGUCAUUUUCUAAUUUCCCUUGUGCUGGUACUACCGGCCGGUGCUGCUCGUCGCCUCGACGUCACUGCAGCAGCAAGAUCCUCGUGGAAGAGGCCUGCAGUAGCACCAACCCGCCCCGGCGCGGUGGAGACCACAGCCAUGACACGCCGCUCCUCCGAGCGGCCCUCGGCCUGGCUCUCCGCAGCGCAGCCGCAUCACGCGGCGGAGGAGGCCCCGUGCUCAAGUCUGAGCACCUGCGGCAGUCGGCGUAGCCCUGGCGCACAACACUGCGCGGGCCUCAACGCCGUCGACACGGCACGACGCCCGGCCUGCACGUGCAGGCGGCUGCCUCGAAACACUCUCUGUCCACAACGACGGAGACCUGCGACGCUCCCCCGCUUUGUCCGGUGUGCUGCGCAGCGGCGCUCUCCCAUCACGGCUCGCGGUGGAGCCUGCAACAUCGCCCUCGGCGCUGUUUGCUCCCGCGGCUCUUGA
rnacentral:rRNA from 1 species